CAGGCAGUUAUUGCCAACAGCUGCGAGAAUGGGGAUGCCGCGAGCUGUGCUGCUGGCAGAGUCUGUGCUGGUGCUGGUGGCGCUGCUGCCGGCACUCUCUCACGCCGAGGACCAUGGAAUCAUAGAAGCAUUCCCCCACACAGAUGUCAUGAAGAGGUGCUACGUCGAGGAGAAAAAGGUGUUUGUAAGGCUGGGAACGACUGAGCUGCCAGGCUGCGCCAGGGCCAUCUGCACCAAGGUGUCACCAUUCACCACACGUCUUCAUUAUUCCAAGUGUAGUUCCAAAAAAACGCCACCAAACUGCCACAGACACAGAGAUUUGGAGAAGCCAUUUCCUGUUUGCUGCGGGUUUAUCCACUGCCCGAAGUAACCUUGCAGGCCCUGACCCGGCAAACCUACAGCACCUUGGACUCAGAGCUAUAAAAAAGAUCUAUGGCAUUCCUAGUGUGUCCUAAUGUUCCUGGGAAAGUGUUUUAUAUUUCAGAAGGAUAUUCAUUACAACUGUCUGAGUGGUGGCAGAAAAAAAAAGAAUAUUUACUGUCACCUACAUGUGCAAAACUAUAAUUCAUAAACGUAGAAAAAUCCUGAUCUGAAGGCCAACAUGAAGUCUAAAUCCAGCGGCGUGCCGAGGAGAUAAUCAACACCACUGGGAGCCCAACACGACACUCAACACGGAAACAGCUUUUUAUUGUCCUUGUCCUUAACGAUUAUGAAGAGACAAAUUAAAGUUAGAAUGUUGUCUUUUCUCUCCCUUACAUAUCUAUUGUGCCUGGAAGAAAAACAAUCAAGUGCAGGUAGUGAGAAAAUAUUCAGCACCCAUCAGUUGCAGGAGGUGGAUUAGAGCAGCUUGUUAGUGCAUUGUGUGUCUGGAUGAAUGCUACGAGAAAAGAUUAUGUGUAAGCGGUACAAGGCCUUGUUACUAUCAUGUGCUCCAUUCCUUCGCUCAGUAAAUACCCAUACGGUUGUCACACUUUA